rnacentral:rRNA from 1 species
UGGGGAAUAUUGCACAAUGGGGGAAACCCUGAUGCAGCAACGCCGCGUGAGUGAUGACGGCCUUCGGGUUGUAAAGCUCUGUCUUCAGGGACGAUAAUGACGGUACCUGAGGAGGAAGCCACGGCUAACUACGUGCCAGCAGCCGCGGUAAUACGUAGGUGGCGAGCGUUGUCCGGAUUUACUGGGCGUAAAGGGAGCGUAGGCGGAUUUUUAAGUGAGAUGUGAAAUACUCGGGCUCAACUUGAGUGCUGCAUUUCAAACUGGAAGUCUAGAGUGCAGGAGAGGAGAAUGGAAUUCCUAGUG